rnacentral:tRNA from 1 species
GUGAAGGUAGAUGAAAAGGUAUUAUGAGGGACUUAAAAUCCCUCGGUGCUUAGCACUGUACGAGUUCAAUUCUCGUCCCAGGUACCA